CCCUCCAUAUUCAAAAGGCCCUCCUGCACCCACCCAGACAACAAAGGAUCCAAGCCAGACUUAACCCUAUUACAGAAGGAAAAAGGAUGCAAAGUGGUUCUGCAGAUACCCUACCCAGGCUUCCCACUGUCACUCAGCAAGAGCUUCGCAUGAGAAAGCAAAAUAUGAUCUCCAUGGAAACCCAGACACCACCAAAAGCAAAUAUCAGCCAGACAUCCUUGAAGAGGCAGUUCAAUGCCACUGGAAGAAGACUAUCUAAGGAGGAAGCAACAUACGUCCACCCUCCUUGUGUAGCCAUUGAGGAUUGUAUUUAACAAUUAAUAAAACUCUGGGACUCUGGUGCUCUUUUAGCUGUUUUUUUUUAUUCAAAGAAAGGGAGCCAAACUAUAAAAACCAAAGUCACUGGGCCCUAUUUUCAAUCACCACACUGAGCAUCGUAGUACCUGCUGCGUUUUCCAUCAUGAAAGUGUCCCACAGCCUUCUGGUGGCUUGCUCAGUUCCAGCUUAUGCUGCAGUCUCAGAAGCACCCUCUUGCAAGUCUGGACAGAACACGCAUGAGAGCACCCUACCGAGGAGAGGACGUCUGUGAGAGCAAGGUGACCGUGUCAGACAAUUGCAUUUCCUGUCUGAUGUACUGUCAGCAGAGACACAGCAUGAUCCCAUAGAUAGGGCACUGAGCUGGAAGUCAGGAGAUCUGGGUUCAGCUUCUGCAACUGACCAGCUUGGGUGACCAUGGGCACAUUGCCCAUCUCUGUGCUUGUCAACAAUUCCUCCCAAGCACCCCUUGCAACUAGGUACCCUAACACCAGGGUUAUCACCCCACUUCCCUCUCAGGCUCCUAAGGACUCCAUGCCAAGCCCCAUUGACACAGUAAAACCCUAGCUUGGGGCUAGUUUGUAACAAAACCUCGUGCAAAGAGUCCACAGCAAAAGCCUCAAAACAUAUUGUCCAUCUAUCACACCCAGUGCAAAUAACCUUUAGCUUUCAGUUUGUCACCAUAGCACAGCGCUUCUCAAACUUUUUUCCCGUGGACCACUUGAAAAUUGCUGAGGGUCUCAGCAGACCACUUAAUGAUCUUUCCAAAUGUUGUUUGUACCAUUAGCUAAAUAUUGUAAAGUGCUUUGAAUAAAAGCUAUGUAUAAAAAAAAUUAUACUAAUUAAUUUUUUUUGUUCUACAAAUAAAAGCACAGAACUCAUUUUAA